AACGAACGCUGGCGGCAGGCUUAACACAUGCAAGUCGAACGCCCCGCAAGGGGAGUGGCAGACGGGUGAGUAACGCGUGGGAACAUACCCUUUUCUACGGAAUAGCUCUGGGAAACUGGAAUUAAUACCGUAUACGCCCUACGGGGGAAAGAUUUAUCGGGGAAGGAUUGGCCCGCGUUGGAUUAGCUAGUUGGUGGGGUAAAGGCCUACCAAGGCGACGAUCCAUAGCUGGUCUGAGAGGAUGAUCAGCCACCUUGGGACUGAGACACGGCCCAAACUCCUACGGGAGGCAGCAGUGGGGAAUAUUGGACAAUGGGCGCAAGCCUGAUCCAGCCAUGCCGCGUGAGUGAUGAAGGCCUUAGGGUUGUAAAGCUCUUUCACCGAUGAAGAUAAUGACGGUAGUCGGAGAAGAAGCCCCGGCUAACUUCGUG
rnacentral:rRNA from 1 species